UACGUAGGUCCCGAGCGUUGUCCGGAUUUAUUGGGCGUAAAGCGAGCGCAGGUGGUUUAUUAAGUCUGGUGUAAAAGGCAAUGGCUCAACCAUUGUAUGCAUUGGAAACUGGUAGACUUAAGUGCAGGAGAGGAGAGUGGAAUUCCAUGUGUAGCGGUGAAAUGCGUAGAUAUAUGGAGGAACACCGGUGGCGAAAGCGGCUCUCUGGCCUGUAACUGACACUGAGGCUCGAAAGCGUGGGGAGCAAACAGG
rnacentral:rRNA from 1 species